CCGUUAGCUGUGUCGUCACUGGUUGUUAAAAAUGGCGGAGGGCUCCCGGAAAAACGUCCGGGAAAUCGGGAAAAGUGGGCAUUAAUUAUGGAGAGUGCUUGUAAAGUGUUCUCUAGACCCUGCGCUUCAUUUUGAUGUAACUUUCAUGGGUGUGCCCCCGUUUUUUCUAUGGGAAAACUGUGAGACAUAACCUCGCAAAUGGCCCCUCUGGGUUAGUAGUUAUCGAGUCCAGAGGAGGUCGAACAGAACAGGGACAGGAGAGGACUCGAGCAAAUACCUCCCGGAGGUAAAAAAAGUAAAAAGUCACCAGAGGGCACUUCUCGACAACAGGGCAGCAGUUUGCAGAUGACUGGACCACAGACUUUAUUUACUAUUUGAUUUAUUUAUAUUGUAUUUAUUUAUAUAUAUGUAUUGUACCAUUGACAAUAAGAACAUGCUUUAAAUUUGAAAAA